CCUACCAGAACCUGUACAACUCUAAAAUACAUCUUCUGAUUGCAAUUCAGACACUUUAAUUAAGCUAAAGCCCU
rnacentral:tRNA from 1 species